GACGAACGCUGGCGGCGUGCCUAAUACAUGCAAGUAGAACGCUGAAGAGAGGAGCUUGCUCUUCUUGGAUGAGUUGCGAACGGGUGAGUAACGCGUAGGUAACCUGCCUGGUAGCGGGGGAUAACUAUUGGAAACGAUAGCUAAUACCGCAUAAAAUGGAUUAUCGCAUGAUAAUCCAUUGAAAGGUGCAAAUGCAUCACUACCAGAUGGACCUGCGUUGUAUUAGCUAGUUGGUGGGGUAACGGCUCACCAAGGCGACGAUACAUAGCCGACCUGAGAGGGCGAUCGGCCACACUGGGACUGAGACACGGCCCAGACUCCUACGGGAGGCAGCAGUAGGGAAUCUUCGGCAAUGGACGGAAGUCUGACCGAGCAACGCCGCGUGAGUGAAGAAGGUUUUCGGAUCGUAAAGCUCUGUUGUAAGAGAAGAACGAGUGUGAGAGUGGAAAGUUCACACUGUGACGGUAUCUUACCAGAAAGGGACGGCUAACUACGUG
rnacentral:rRNA from 1 species